rnacentral:rRNA from 1 species
UACGGGGGGGGCAAGCGUUGUUCGGAAUUACUGGGCGUAAAGGGCUCGUAGGCUGCCAACUAAGCCGGACGUGAAAUCCCUCGGCUUAACCGGGGAACUGCGUCUGAUACUGGAUGGCUUGAGUUUGGGAGAGGGAUGCGGAAUUCCAGGUGUAGCGGUGAAAUGCGUAGAUAUCUGGAGGAACACCGGUGGCGAAGGCGGCAUCCUGGACCAACACUGACGCUGAUGAGCGAAAGCCAGGGGAGCAAACGGG